rnacentral:rRNA from 1 species
CGCGUAGGCGGCCUGCUAAGUCGAACGUGAAAUCCCCGGGCUCAACCCGGGAACUGCGUCCGAUACUGGCAGGCUUGAAUCCGGGAGAGGGAUGCGGAAUUCCAGGUGUAGCGGUGAAAUGCGUAGAUAUCUGGAGGAACACCGGUGGCGAAGGCGGCAUCCUGGACCGGCAUUGACGCUGAGGCGCGAAAGCCAGGGAGGCAAACG